rnacentral:rRNA from 1 species
GACGAACGCUGGCGGCGUGCUUAACACAUGCAAGUCGAACGGAAAGGCCUCUUUCGGGGGUACUCGAGUGGCGAACGGGUGAGUAACACGUGAGUAACCUGCCCUUGACUUUGGGAUAACUUCAGGAAACUGGGGCUAAUACCGGAUAGGAGCUCCUGCUGCAUGGUGGGGGUUGGAAAGUUUCGGCGGUUGGGGAUGGACUCGCGGCUUAUCAGCUUGUUGGUGGGGUAGUGGCUUACCAAGGCUUUGACGGGUAGCCGGCCUGAGAGGGUGACCGGCCACAUUGGGACUGAGGUACGGCCCAGACUCCUACGGGAGGCAGCAGGGGGGAAUAUUGCACAAUGGGUGGAAGCCUGAUGCAGCAACGCCGUGUGCGGGAUGACGGGCUUCGGGUUGUAAACCGCUUUCGCUCAUGACGAAGCUUUGUGUGACGGUAGUGGGUAAAGAAGCACCGGCUAACUACGUG